rnacentral:rRNA from 1 species
CAAUAGCGUAUAUUUAAGUUGUUGCAGUUAAAGAGCUCGUAGUCGGAUUUUGGCUGAGAACGAACGGUCCGCCGUUAGGUGUGCACUGUUUGGUCUCAGCUUCCUGGUGAGGAGGUGUGCUUCACGGCCACUUAGUCACCGUGGUUACUUUGAAAAAAUUAGAGUGUUCAAAGCGGGCUUACGCUUGAAUAUAUUAGCAUGGAAUAACACCAUAGGACUCCUGUCCUAUUUCGUUGGUCUCGGGACGGGAGUAAUGAUUAAGAGGAACAGUUGGGGGCAUUCGUAUUUCAUUGUCAGAGGUGAAAUUCUUGGAUUUAUGAAAGACGAACUUCUGCGAAAGCAUUUGCCAAGGAUGUUUUCAUUGA